GCCGGGCACGGUAGUGCGUGCCUGUAGCCCCAGCUAUUCGGGAGGCUGUGGCCGGAGGAUCUCUUGAGUCCAGGAGUUCUGGGCUGCAGUGUGCUAUGCCGAUGGGGUGUCCACACUAAGUUCAGCAUCAAUAUGGUGACCUUCAGGGAGCGGGGGAUCACCAGGUUGCCUAAGGAGGGGUGAACUAGGUCGGAAAUGGAGCAGGUCAAAACUCCCAUGCUCAUCAGUAGUGGGAUCGUACCUGUGAAUAGCCACUGAACUCUAGCCUGGGCAACAUAGCAAGACCCUGUCUCUU
ensembl:misc_RNA Metazoa_SRP Metazoan signal recognition particle RNA